AAACGGUUAUAUACUACUAUAAUAUAUAUUUUUUUUCAUUUUUUAUCAUUAUCAAAGGCUAUAAGCACUGGUCAAUUAUUGUACGAAAAUAUUAUACAUUUUUAAUUUUAAAAUAAUACAUAUUACCACGAUCAUUUAUUGUACAAUUUCUAGGCAUCACAAACUACGAGGAUCUUGCGAAAUAUUUGCAGCGUAUUAUUUGCACUGAAAUGUCUAAAGUAAAAAAAAAAAGCGUCAAUUACACCAUUGGACAACAAGUUAAAAAAAUAUUAGAAGUCGUCCAGCAGUCAGGAGAUGCACCGAGUAAACAAAGAGCUUGGAAUAUUAUCGACUGAAAUAUUUCAAAUGGUUUCGGCUGGAUCUACCAAAUAUGAAGAUGACAUUUUUAAAAUCAUGGAGAAAAUUAUUAAAAAAGAAGGGCAACUAAAAUAUAGCGGUUGUGGACGCAAAAUAAAAGGCGUAGGAAAAGAAAGUUUUAGCGAUACUGAAACUUUCAAAAUUAUGGAACAAUUUUUAUUGGCAAAAUAUCAAUCAUCUAAGGAAAAAAUAGGAGUGAUAACUGUAAUAAGUGCAUUUAAAGGACAUUAACAAGUAAAGGACAGAGAGGGUGGACGCGCUCAACGCAACAAAGGAAACGAAUAUAUAAAUAUUAAUAAUUAUA
rnacentral:misc_RNA from 1 species